ensembl:lncRNA
GGGUGAGGUGGCGGGCUCCUGUGCACACCACCACGUCCGCCUAAUUUUUGUAUUUUUUAAUAGAGAAGGGGUUUUGCCAUGUUGGCCCGGCUGGUCUUGAACUUCUGACCUCAGGUGAUUUGCCCACCUCAGCAUCCCAAAGUGCUGGGAUUACAGGCAUAAGCUACCGCACCCGGCCAAACUCACUGAAGUUUUUUGAAAAUUUUAUACAUUUAUGUUAUUUAAUAUAAUGUUUCGUAAAUGGUAAUUAUUACUAUCCAUUUUUAUAAAAAGAUGCAUUAAGUUAUAUGAUACCUGACUUAUUUUGUAAUUUAUAAAAUUUCAGACCCCACUGCAUAUGCCAUGUAUAGUGGCUAGCUGGUAUCCCACGCUUAUGUGAGAAGGGCUAAAUGAAGAGAUGCUGAGGCCCUUCAAAGUGAGUGCUCUACUCUGCUGCAUUGCCCAGAGAUUAGAUUUCUUGACAUUUACCUUAAAACCCUGAACAGUUUGUGCUCGGGAGCUCUGCUAUUUGCUAAACUACUUUAGUAAACAGCAUGCUGUGAAGCAAGACCCCACCAGAGCCCUUUCUGCAAUAUCUUUUAAUUUUGGUUUUCCUUUAUGCCCACGUGUGGUUUUAUAUUAUAGACCAAUGGAAAAAAAAUAAUUUGAUGUGAGUAAUGUUGCUUUUUCCUCCAAUUUUUCAUGGCUUUAAAAAAUAAUUAAGGAGAGCCUUUAAUACUUCUUUGAAAGUAAUUAUGAAGGUUUUUUUUAGUAUUUUGAAAGAUCAUAGAAUCCACUAUAUAGUAAUUUUUAAAUAUUUUAAAUUGGAUGUUUAACUCUAAAUUAGAAAAAGCAGAACAUUAUUGAAAGCUUUUCUUUAAUAGAAAAACUGCUUUGAUUUUUAUUUCAUAAUCAUUAAUUUAAAAUAUUAGUUACAUGAAUUAUUAUUUACAACUUGCAUAGUAAUUUUCAUACAUCUCCAUAAUAAAAAUUCACUCUGUAAUCUCUUCUGUAAAAAGAAGUAAACAGCACCUGCCAGAGCACUGUAGCAACAAGAGCCAUCAAAUGUGUAUUCACUUCACUAUUCAACAGUGAAAGAGUUAAUAAAAGCUGAAUACAUUAUAGGAUUACAAAGAAUUUUAUUUAUUAGGGGAUGGGGAGGGUAUGGUAUAUAUGGGAUGAUACAUUAAUAACCUCUGUAUUCUGCAAGACUGACCUAUUGCUUUGGAACUACUCUCUUAGCCCCACAGAGACUGUGAAACAGUGUUUUGGUGGUCUAUAGGAGAGGUUCAACUUGGCAAAUGUAGUGGUAAGUGAUGUCAUUGAAUGCAUACCAUAUGUAUUGAGAGUCAGUGAAUGCUAUUCUCACUGCUGCACACAGGCAUAUGUAAGUGUUGGAAUGGAAAAAUCAUUUUUAUGAAAAUAUAGAGAAGUAAAACAAGAAUGUUCUGUCCUGAGCCUGAUCAGAUCACCAGUAGCUGCCAAGAAUGAACGCUCCGUGUAAGGUUUUCUCUUCUUAAUUCUCCAGCUUCCGGCCUUUUGUUGGCUCUCAAAAGUAGUCUAUUCGGAAGGCCUUAUUCAGCAUGUUCUUUCUUGAUAUGAUAUGAACACCAAAUGAAAGUUCCAUUUUCUCCAUUAAAGUAAAGCUGGGAGAAUAUUUUAGUGUGCAUGGUUUGCAGCAGAUGGAAAUGAUUAAUUGAUUUAGCUAACUUGCCAAAUUGUUCUCUUUCCCAGUAGAGUUGGGUUUUAUCAGAGAUUCGUACUGCUAAUCAUUGUAACACUUACUAAUGUAUCAGAAAGAAUAUAAUUGUUGCAUUUUAAUUAUUCUCAUUACUAUUAUUUAAGGCAUUAUGCUCUAAUGCUACACUAAUGGAUAUGUCAAAUAAAUAAAGCAAUUGAUUCCUUUUGGAAAUUUAUGACCUAUAAGAUAGAGUAGAAGAAUACAUGGAGAUAUAAAAAUGUGAAGUAGCCAGUUAUUUUACUCUUAAAUUUUUAUUAGCAAAUCAGUGUCCUUACCAAAAGUCAAGUGUCAUUUUCUUAAGCUUGAAUAGAUGCUAUCUUAAAUCUUAAUCUCUUUUGUAUUUUGUAUAAAGACUGCCUGUUAUAACAGUAUGAUUUUAAAGUAACACUUCAAGAAAUAAAAACAAUAUUUGCCCUUUAUAAUAGGACAUUAGAAAUGUAAAUGUAAAUAAUAAUAUAGAUUGUUAUAGCAAUUCUGUUAACACUUUGAUAUUUCAUUUUAGAUUUUUAAUAUACAUAUACAUAUAUACAUAUAAGAAACAUAUGUUGUAUAGAUAUAUGUAUAUUUUUAUUUUUACAAAAUUUGGAAAUACUCUUUAACAUUUUCUCAGCUAUUUUUACUUAAUAAUAUAACUUGAUAUUUUCCUGUCAUUAAAAUGUUUUUAGAAAUCUCCUUUUUAAUGGGGAAUUAAUUUUUUAAUUAAACAAACUUUUUAAAAUUUAGAGACAGGGUCUCAUUCUAUUCCCCAGGCUGGAGUGCAGUGGUGCCAUCAUAGCUUAUGCAGCCUCGAAUUCCUGGGCUCAAGUGCUUCUCCUGCCUCAGCCUUCCAAAUGCUGGGAUUACUGCUGGUGUGAGCCAUUGAGCCUGGCCCUAAGGAGUGAGUUUUUGUUUUGUAAAGGAAAUACUGCUUUUUGGAUUAGAAAAAGUCAAUAUACCCCUUACAUUUCAGCUCCUAAAAUUUUAACCAAGGAUGCAGUGGGUAGCAGUAAAUAGUGAGGUGGCUGAAGCUAUUACUAUGACACAUUAACUCUUACAUUGGCUCUUUUCAUUCUGCAUUUGGGCAUGACUCCUAUAGGUAUAAAGCAAGAGCUAAUAUCUUCCGUACUGUGCAUUAAAAAUUCAAAAUAUGUGCUGGUUAAUAAGCACUACUUACAGUAUGAGUAUUAAAAAAUUUUCAGACCAGCCAUGGUGGCUCAUGCUUCUGUAAUCCAAGCACUUUGGGAGGCUGAGGUGAGAGGAUCGACUGAUCCAGGAGUUUUUGAGUUUACAGUGAGCUAUGUUUACACCAAUGUACUCCAGCCUGGGCAACAGAGCAAGACUGUCUCAAAAAAAAAAAAAAAAAAAAAAAAAA